CGAACGAGACUCUGCCGUGUUAAAUAGUGAACAUCCAGACAUAGUUCGGUGGUCACUUCUUAAAAGGACAAGCGGAAAAGAACCGCACGAAAUGGAGCAAUAACAGGUCUGUGAUGCCCUUAGAUGUCCGGGGCUGCACGCGCGCUACACUGAUAAACUCAGCGCGU
rnacentral:rRNA from 1 species